UACUUCUAUUUAAACUCUGCCGAAGGGACGCUGCUCCUUCAUUUCAAAUUUCGUUGAAAGUGGUAAGAGUUAGUUUAAAACGUUAAAAUUAGUCAGAAACGUGCUUUGGAUGUCAUCUUGCUGAUCAACUUUAGUUUCGGCUUGUUUGCAAGUUUUCUGGGAAAAGAUGCAAGAAAUAGAAUUGCGAUACAUUGUAAUAAAUUCCAUUGAUAAUCUUGAUGCAAACAAUGAAAAUGGUUGAAUAUGUACCACACCUAUGAUAAUAUAACAUGUAUAGUAUAUAAAUAACUGUGGGAUAAAGAAGAUAUAUAACAUGAAAUAGGAAAAAAAUUUAAACUUUGAAAAAGCAAAGAAAGAUAUUAGAAAGGAAAGAUGUAUUCACGAAAAUAAUAAUUAAACCAUGAAACCUUUUUUUUAAAGAUAGGAAGAUUCUAUAAUUUACUUGAGCACGAUGUGUAUCAUUACUUUUUCAAAUAGGUGUUUGCACAUAUAUUAAUUACAAAGUUUAAUACCAGAAGACAAAUAACAAAAAGAUAAACUUGGAAGACAGGAACUGAAUACCAAUACGAAUUUGUUCUUAAACUAAUUAAGUCACAUGUAUAUAUACCUUUUAUAAAUAUAUACGAUUUUCUAACUAAA